AACGAACGCUGGCGGCAGGCUUAACACAUGCAAGUCGAGCGCCCCGCAAGGGGAGCGGCAGACGGGUGAGUAACGCGUGGGAAUCUACCCAUCUCUACGGAAUAACGCAUGGAAACGUGUGCUAAUACUGUAUACGUCCUUCGGGAGAAAGAUUUAUCGGAGAUGGAUGAGCCCGCGUUGGAUUAGCUAGUUGGUGGGGUAAAGGCCUACCAAGGCGACGAUCCAUAGCUGGUCUGAGAGGAUGAUCAGCCACACUGGGACUGAGACACGGCCCAGACUCCUACGGGAGGCAGCAGUGGGGAAUAUUGGACAAUGGGCGCGAGCCUGAGCCAGCCAUGCCGCGUGAGUGAUGAAGGCCCUAGGGUUGUAAAGCUCUCUCUCCGGUGAAGAUAAUGACGGGAACCGGAGAAGAAGCCCCGGCUAACUUCGUGCCAGCCGCCGCAGUAAUAC
rnacentral:rRNA from 1 species